GAAAAUCGCAAGGAAGCCGGGUAAGGACCUUUCAUUUUCAGCCCUGCUCUUUAAAUACUAGACAUACCGUCUGGCGCAUGUCGAGGCGUGUAUUAUUUUGAUCCAGUGCGCGUGCCGUAUGUGACUUGGCUUGGCUUCCCCUGAAAGCAGCGGCUGUGGGGAGUUGAUUCGGAAGUGAAGGGCCCUGGGCGACCCGGCGAGUAGAGGCAACACCAACACUCCUCCUUAGCGAGGGGUCUCCCCGCCGCGGUGGCUGCCCGGCCCCAAGGACAGGAGGGAUUUGUGCACUGACUCCUGACCCCGUCCUCCAGCGCUGCUCUGAAGGGAGAGUCUGUGCAGUGGCACCUGCGCGAAGCUGGCCAAAGCCUGCCCAGACGGCUCACCUGUGCGGGAUGGAACAAAAGAAUUUCGCUCUUGUUGCCCACUGUUGUCCAGGCUGGAGUGCAAUGGCACGAUCUCAGCUCACCACAACCUCCGCCUCCUGGGUUCAAGUGAUUCUCCUACCUCAGCCUCCUGAGUAGCUGGGAUUACAGGUAUGUGCCACCAUGCCUGGCUAAUUUUGUAUUUUUAGUAGAGACGGGGUUUCUC
rnacentral:lncRNA from 10 species